CCUACGGGCGGCAGCAGUGAGGAAUAUUGGUCAAUGGGCGUAAGCCUGAACCAGCCAAGUCGCGUGAGGGAUGAAGGCCCUAUGGAUUGUAAACCUCUUUUAUACGGGAAUAAAGUGCGCGACGUGUCCCGUUUUGCAUGUACCGUAUGAAUAAGGACCGGCUAAAUCCGUGCCAGCAGCCGCGGUAAUACGGAGGGUCCGGGCGUUAUCCGGAUUUAUUGGGUUUAAAGGGUGCGUAGGCCGGCUUUUAAGUGUGCGGUGAAAGUUUGUGGCUCAACCAUGGCAUUGCCGCUGGAACUGGGGGGCUUGAGUAUGCGGAAGGCAGGCGGAAUUCGUGGUGUAGCGGUGAAAUGCUUAGAUAUCACGAAGAACCCCGAUUGCGAAGGCAGCCUGC
rnacentral:rRNA from 1 species